UAGGUAGGGUUUGAUGGUGGAGGAACUGCUUUUUUUUGCCACCUGGGAGGUCAACUUUUGAUUAUGGAAGCAGUAGGUAAAGAAGAACUUAUCGAUAAUAGUGCUAUAAAGAUGGACAUUAAGGAAUCUGAAGAUCAGAGAUAAGAAGAAAACCAUCUUUCCCAGGACUCAUUUGGACAAUAUGGAAUAUCAGAGAUUCGGUGCUCCUUUUCUUGUUUCAUUUUGUUUUGAAUCAUUACUGCUUUUCUGAAGACCUGUUCACUAUGUGAGCAUAGCCUCUGUGUUAUGAUGCUAUAAGGGAUUUCCAAAGAGGUCUGAGUGAUGGUUUCUUAUUUUCCUUCAGAAUCUUCUUCAAGCCACAUUCUGGUGUUGGUGUUGGUGUUGGAUUUGGGUUCCUAGGAGACUUGAAACAUGGAUUACAUCCUGUCACCACAAUAUUUGGCUGGUUACAGUGGCUUUAAGAUUGAUGAACAGAUAUUUCCAGUAUCACGUGGGGUAAAUGUCAAGGAAGCCUCUAGUUGUCAAUACGACAUUUUGCAAAAACAAAACAAAACAAAACACAAUUUAACAACAGGAAAUCUCAAAAUGUGAUGACUCUAUAUUGAUUUCUAGAGAACACACAAUCUGCUCUUAAAUUUACAAGUCAUUUGGGGCAACUUGAUUUAAUUCUGUGGUAAUGUCUAUGACUUUUCUCUCUGCUUACUUACUAACUUAAUUAAUUACUCACACUUGAAUGAGAGUCUCUCCCAGCCUCCAUGAGCUGCCUUUUCAGGAAAAUAGAUAUCACACAAAAGCAUGUUGCCUCAUACUUGUUUUCCAGUAUCUGAGUUCUAAACCUUUUUGGGCCCAAUUUUGAUUGUCUUGGUGCAGGGAUACUUUGAGGGUAACUGGAGGUGAAUAUUUUAUUUUAUUCAUUUAGUUUUAGAUAUUUGAUAUGUACCUCCACAGUGAGCUAAAGGAAAAAGGAUCAAGACUGUGAGUAGUCUAUAAAAGGCAUCCUGGAUAUUGUGAUGUGGCAGUAGCAGUACCCAAACACUACACAUUGGGUACAGCGUACCCUGCUCGGGUGAUGGGUCCACCAAAAUCUCAGAAAUCAUCACUAAAGAACGUAUUCAUGUAACCAAACGUCAUCUGUUCCCCCAAAACCUAUUGAAAUUAAAAAAAUUGCAUGCCCCAAACUGAAAGCAUUGUUCGACGCCACCAUAUUCUCUCUAAAGUCCAUUCGUCAAUUUCUGCACUUCAAAAUAUAGACAAAUAGUCUACUAAUAAAGUGGCAAGCCUCCCACACUAAGGAUAGUACCAGCUAUUUCCUGUAAAAUGGAAUUCUCAUGCUGGACUUCAGGGUAAUAUCUUUGCAGAUUCCUAGCAGGUGACGAGUUGCUCACAAUGGGCUCUGUGCUCAGUGCUUGGCUGAGAGGGAUACUUCAAAUUAAUAAUUGGGCUCCUACGAAAAUCCUCUCCUGAGGUGCAGAAGAUGGAUAUAAAUGAGAUGAAAUGGUUGUGCUGUGGAAAUCUCACUCAAAUGUUGCAUGGCAUUCUUUUGUGUCUCCUGCUCUCUCUUUAGGCUGCUGUUGGCAGAUCAGCUAGUUGGGAUUUCACUGAACCUUAACCCGUGUAUAGGUGGUAGAAUAUCAUGUUCAGUCCAAGAGAAUCCUGACAUUUUCAUUUGGGCCCAGCUAGGAAGAAUUCAAGGGCUUUCACUUAUGAAGAGCUACUUUGUGCUUUCUUCCCUUUUUGGGAGGUUAACUAUAAUGCCUUACCCUUUGGGUUCUGGGGCUCACCCCUUUAUACCUGUGGCCUAUCAGUUUCCCAGUGGUAAAGCAUCAUAUCCUUGUUGUGAAUCUGUGAUUGAUGCCCUUGGCCUAGGGGCUCCCUCUUACCCCUUCAGGAAACAGGAGGGCUAGAGAGAUAGCGCUCAAGUUUUCUUUCACAGUCCCUGUUUCCUAACUCUAAUCACCUCCUGCUGUCACUCAAAACCUAAAUUCAACGCUACUUCAUUUCUAAGAGGCUUAUCUUCCUUGAAUAGACCCUUGCAGCUCAAGUAAGAGGCGAUGUAAUGAAGCGUGUUUUUUUCUUAAGUGAGAAACCUGCUGCAAAGAAGGGGGAAGACUGUGCAGCUGUUCUAAAGGGGCUCUGCAGACUCUCGAAAGACUUGUCAUUUAUCUGGUCUUGCAUGACAUCAAAUGAUAGAAGAUCAAGUUCAAAAUCUGCCAGAGCAGCUCAAAAGGGCUUCUUCAUCUGUUAAUUAAAUAAUGGUUAUUAACAUACAAUGUUGUGCAGCUGGGAUUUGUAUCAAACAUUAUGGGAAAAAUAUUGCCCUAGCUUUCAACACUUCCCCUUCAGUCUGUGUUUAUUAGGAGGCAAAUAGCUUGGGAAAUGGCAAUGGUCUUACCCAAAUCUGAAAGUUAAUAUUGAUGCCAUAAUAUGUGGUUAAAUGAAAGAGCAACUAGACAGGUGGGUAUUAGGCAGAUGGAUAAAUUCAAAGUGACAUGCUGAGAUCAUUGAAGAGUAUACCCUUUUGUGUACGCUUGUAAUUAAUUCAGCGGUCCCCACAAUGUGGGUUCACUGACUUCUUCUGAAAAGUUAAAUACAUGCAACACACACACACACAUGCAAUUACUAUAAAUAAUUGCUUAUUUACUUUGGUUUAACUUAGGCUACUCUAUUACGCUAAAGUUUAAUUUGAACUUUGGAAUAGAUGUCAAGAUUUUCAUCACUGCAAUAAAUUUUACUGGAUAAGGAUAAUUUUAGCAGCAUUUCAUCAUCCACUGGCUUGAGUUUAUGUGUACAAGCUACAAAAUUACAUUUAAAUAUGUCUUGCUUUAUUAGUCUGUAUGUAAUUAAAUGGCACCACAUUUAAGCUUAGAGCUACAGAAAGUAGGCAAUAUCCUUCAGGAAAAAAGUGGUUUGGAAAGGUGUGAAACUCUAAAAAAAAAUUUAUGCUCCAUAGUAAUUUCCCUUAAAAAAGCAUCGUGAGUUGUAUCACUGAAGAAGUCCUGGCAGGUUUUUAAUUCCCACUGAGUAACUGAGCUUAAAGGAAAUAGUGACCACAGAAUAAUUUUAAAAACUUCCAUUUUGUGAUUUCAAGUCCAUAUCACACAUCUUUUAAGUUGUCUAAAGCAAUUAUUUUAUACUUGUUAAUGAACAGGGCUUAUAAUUUAGACUACCCUUAAUUUAUAGCAGUUAGUUAUCUAAUCCCUUGAUAUUUAUGACAAUAAGUACCAUAUUAGAAAACAACGUCUUUUUUUUUUCUUAGUACGAAGCAUCAACUCUGAUUGUUUUCCUACUUUGCUUACUAAUCCUAAUUUGUCUAAGGAAUGCAUGGUCAAUUCAUGUUGACUGAUAAUCCAAAAAUCUGAAUUUAGUGAUUAGCUUUGACUUUUUCUCCAACUAAGGCUAUCACUUGGUUAGAGAACAAUGAGCUCCGUUAACUGACUUGAAGUUUACCUCUCCCAUCUCCUCCAGGUCCUCUGUAGAAAUAACAAGUAGAGAAAUUUCCAGAAGAUGUACAAUGAAAUAGGGAGGAAGUGGAAAAUACAUGGAAAAUAUGCAAAUUAGUCUGGCUGUGGCUGAGAGUUGCCCAAUUUCAAAGAAGAUUCUGAAUCCAAAUUUGAAGCCUUGUUGAAUUAUUUGAGCUUCUAGGCACUGUCGGAUCAUUCAUUCAUUCAUUCAUUUAACACCUCCAUGGGGCCUAACACUAUGAGUCUGGUCUUUUCUUUACCUUCUAACCAUCCAUCUGGUGUUCAGUAAAGGCGACCAUAGAAAAGCCAACUUUUUAGUGUUUACAGCAGUUUUGGAGAAAAAAAAAAAAAGGCAACUUUUCGGGGUUUUAGCCAGCUGUCUUGUAGAUUCACUUAGGUUCAUGAAAGUUUGGAAUGAAGAGAGUUAGAUGGCUAGUGUAAACUCAUUUUUAUUAAUUAUAAAGCAGCUUGCAGCACAGGGUUUACUGAUAAGCAUCAGCAACAAUGUCUUUUACUCAAAACAUAUUAUCUGCUUCUCAAUGCCAGGACUCUGAUGACAUAACAGCUUUUUAAGCACUUACUAUGUGCUGGGCACUGUACUAAGUUUUCUUUAUACGUUAACUCAUUUCAUCCUCACAAUAACUCUGUGAAAUAAGUUACUAUUAUUUUCCUCAUAUCUUUUUAACAUGUGAGGAAACAGAGGUACAGAGAUGUCAAUUCACUUGCUUAUAGUCACUCAGCUUAGAAGUGGCAAAACCAGGAUUCAGACUCAGAAAACUUGGUUCCAUGCUCUUUACCCUACACUAAACCAUGUCUAAAGUAGCGUUAGCAAGUGAAGAAGUUGAGACCCCUAGCAUAUAUCUAUCUUGGCCCGGCCAGUGCUAUGUCUACACAAUGUCUAAAUUGGUUAUUUGAUAUUAUAUUAACUCCAAAUCCCCAAACUUGUGAAUGGCAUUUAUCACUCUUAACUCUCUCUCUCUCUCUCUGUGUGUGUGUGUGUGUGUGUGUGUGUGUGUGUGUGUGUGUGUAAAACAGGAAGUGAAAUCCUGGAAAACAGACAAUAAAAUGAAAUCCUGAUCAUGGACCUUGGAUGCAUCACUGAACCUUUCCAAGUUUCAACCCCACUCUCAUACAGAGAAAUACAUUUUAAAUGACUACCAUAGUGCUUGGUACAGAGUAUAUGCUAUUAUGAUUGAGAAUGAGGUAGAGUGCUGAAGUUUAACUAGAUAAAUUAAGUAAUUAGUGGCUUACCAUUAGAGAAUUCAUUGUUGCAGAAUGUUGGGAAGGUUGAGGAAGGCCAUGUUUAAUUGUAAGGUAUGCAUAACCUUCCUUACGCUGGCUGAAUAAAAAUUCCAAUACCUUUUUUGAUGUGCCACACUGUUCCAAGGCUUCUCUGGGACUUGGGGUGCAUUUCAUCUUGAACUAUGAAUUGCAGAGAUUUUUAUCGUCUUCUGUCACAUACACAGCAUCCUUUUAUUGUGGUUUUUGAUGCGUUAAAUAUGUUUUUAUGGCCCCCUAUGUCUAUUGUGCCUAGCAUACUGUUGGUACUUAAUAAACGUUAAAUAAUAAUAAUAUAUGUGCAUAUGAGAUGUGUGGAAAGGAAUGACAUACUGUUUUAAGGAUCUGAGAUUGUUCUUCUGGUGCCUGGGGAAAACAUACAGAUGAGCAUGUUACUGGGAAUAGAUUAGAAGGAACCAUCAAUAGCAAUGUCAUCUCCCUAAAAUAUGAUGUGGCUCUGUCAGCACAAAUCAUAAACUCCAUCUCCUACCCUGCAUCACUGUAGAAAUCUAAUGUGGAAAGUUGAAUUCCUAGAUUAAUAGAAAUGGGUAUACAGGCACCUUAGAAUUUUGCGAAUUAACAAAUGAUGCUGUCUUUCUUGUGUAUCAGUGAAUUUGUACGGUUUACAGGGAAAUGCUAGGCUGAGCUUUGGGUUUUUUGUUUUGUUUUUUUUUUAACUCUUAAGGGAACCUGUCCAGAGAGGUUUUGAGGGUGUUCUGCUUUAUUUCCUUGGAUGAAGAGGAGGGGCUCCAGAUACUGUCUUUUCAGGGACUGUUUCCCCCCUUAACUGAUAUCUUUGUCAGUAAGGAGACACCUGCAUCCGUGCAGUUCCACCAGUUGAACGACACACCACUUCACUAGUUCUCUUCCUUUCCCAGCUGGAUGCAGCCCAGAAUAUCAGUUCUCUGCCUUGUGCCAAAAGCCUUCUAAGUCCAGUGUGGAGGUGUUUGUGUAAGAUAAAAGCAGGACAAGGCGGCAUCCCCGGACGGCUCAUCUGUUUACAUGUGUCAUUUGGCUCAGCCCUGAUUAGCUCAUUAGCAAAGAAGGCAGGAAAACGAGCAACCCAGAUUUGGUGAUUCAUCAGGUCUGUUCCUCUCUGGGGAGACAGUGCUGGCAUUCUCUGCCAGUCUUCGGAGUGCCUGGUCUUUUUCAGUCCCCCAGGGUAGAGUUUGUUAAAUGUAUUUCUACCCCCGCAGGGCACACCUUCCCCUGCUGGAAAGACAGAUGGCUUAGAUUGAGAAAGGGAGUCACUGCUUUUAGUUGCUCCUUUUAAAAAUCAUUUUCUUUUCUGCAUGCAGAAAACUUAUUUUGAUGGAGCCAAUAUUUAAGGCGAAGCUUUCUUAUGGGCUGUGAAACUGAGGGUCUUUAAUGCUUUUUAUGUUUGAAGGUUCUAUUCGAGAGGUUUUUGUGAGGACAUAAAUUACGGGUAGCAACAGGUAUAUUUUUCCCUUAGUACAAAGGCCAAGUGUAAGUUUUUUACUAGUUAAGAAGGGUCUGUUCUUUUCUUUUUGACCUUGAUUUUUUAGCGAUAUUCUGCUUUGCCCCUGCUUCGGUUGUAUUAUUCCCUGACCCAUCCAAUUACCAUUUCUAUCAGCGCUUCGGAAAGAUUAUGCUUUUUGGGUGUUCUGUAGAUGUCUUUCCAGUGGCUUCACUUGAUGAAUGUGACAAGUUUUGUGUUUUCUCCCUCCCCUCAUUGAAUUGAAAAGUUUUUUUUUUUUUUAUAAAUACAGGCCAAUAAGUGCCCAAAGGCAGUGUUUCAAUGGCUGCUAAGUCUUUCAAGGUUAGGACUUAACCUCCGUUCUCCCUAAUUCAACUCCAACCUUCAGUCUGAAGCCAAUCAAGAAUAUCAGAUGAUACUUAAACAAUGAAGGAUUUCUGAUAUUCAGGUACUGCCUCUGUUCAAUAGGAUUGCAAAUUCUUUGUGUGAAGAAAGUCGGUUUUGCUCUAAAGUACCGUCACAAAAAGUGAAAUUACCAUUUGCUUGGAAUGAUGCCAUUCAUCAUUGUCAGAAUACUAAGCAUUGUAAGUAGCUAGGCCUCUCCAAAUUAAUGCCUUGUUUUGCAUCGGCUAAAUUUCCCAAAUCCUUGAGGAUGGGUCAUACAAAACUCAUCUCACCAUUUUAAUUUAUCAAUCCAAUAUGAGUUCUGUGAAAGGGAGCUUCCUUCACUCUUAGCUCUUUUAUUUACAGUCUAAUUCUAAAAGAAAAGGAAAUAAGAUAUGAAAAUAAGUUGGAAAAUAAGAUAAAUCUCUCGGUGAAAUCACCAGAUCUCAGUCCUGUAGCAAAACCUCCAUAAUUCAUCUGUAGGUCAGCUCAAGGGAUUAGCCAUGACGUAUUUGGAAAUUCAUUUAUUUUUAUUUUAUUUUGCUGUUUCUUAUGCAUAAGGGUAAUGCUGUCCCCAAGGCUUUUCAGGUAGCCCUCAAAUCUUGACAACAUUUGCUGUCUCUGAGGCCUAAGCCAAAAUUAAUUUUCAAAUAAACAGCAUAAAAAUGUAUGGAGUUGUAUAAAUUUGAAUACAAAAUGCAUUUGUUUUGUUUGCUUACAUACAUACAUACAUACUGUCUGUUCAGCCAAAAACCAUAAUAUCACAUUGAAAUUAAUGGCCAUAUGCACAUCAUGAAAGUCAAAAAAGUUUUUCUUGAGUUAAAAAAAUGCAGAACAUGCAGCAUUUUAUUUCAUUUCCAACUCAACGUGGUCUUUAACAUAUCUUCAUAGGAUGUGUUUUAAUUGUUUAUUUUUCCUAGAAGGAAAUUUAAAAAUCUUCCAUAGGAAAAACUGGUACCUAGGAAAUUGUAUGGUUUUUAUUAGUUCAAAAGAUUCUGUUGCCUUGGGAGAUAUGAAGAUAUUUU
rnacentral:lncRNA from 1 species